UACGUAGGGGGGCAAGCGUUAUCCGGAUUUACUGGGCGUAAAGCGCGUGUAGGCGGUUGCGCAAGUUGGUUGUGAAAUCUCCCGGCUCAACCGGGAAACUGCAGCCAAAAACUGCGCGGCUAGAGUGGCAGAGAGGAAAGUGGAAUUCCCGGUGUAGUGGUGAAAUGCGUAGAUAUCGGGAGGAACACCAGUGGCGAAGGCGACUACCUGGCCUGUUCUUGACGCUGAGGCGCGAAAGCUAGGGGAGCAAACGGG
rnacentral:rRNA from 1 species